rnacentral:misc_RNA from 1 species
AGCAGCCGCGGUAAUUCCAGCUCCAAUAGCGUAUAUUAAAGUUGUUGCAGUUAAAAAGCUCGUAGUUGAAUUUCGGGAUUGACGUGAUGGUCGUGCCUUAAGGGGUAUGAACUGUUGCUGUUGAUUUCUCACCUUCUGGAGAAACUUGAUGUCCUUAAUUGGGUGUCUUGCGGAUCCAGGACCUUUACCUUGAAAAAAUUAGAGUGUUUAAAGCAGGCAUUUUGCUCGAAUACAUUAGCAUGGAAUAAUAGAAUAGGACGGCAUGGUUCUAUUUUGUUGGUUUCUAGGAUCACCGUAAUGAUUAAUAGGGAUAGUUGGGGGCAUUAGUAUUCAAUUGUCAGAGGUGAAAUUCUUGGAUUUAUUGAAGACUAACUACUGCGAAAGCAUUUGCCAAGGAUGUUUUCAUUAAUCAAGAACGAAAGUUAGGGGAUCGAAGACGAUCAGAUACCGUCGUAGUCUUAACCAUAAACUAUGCCGACUAGGAAUCAGACGAUGUUAAUUUUUAAUGACUCGUUUG